GGAGUUUGGACCGUGUCUCAGUUCCAAUGUGGGGGACCUUCCUCUCAGAACCCCUACUGAUCGACGGCUUGGUGGGCCGUUACCCCGCCAACAACCUAAUCAGACGCAUCCCCAUCCGUCACCGGAAAAACCUUUACUCCUCAUUAGAUGUCCGCAAAGGAGAUCAUCAGGUAUUAAUUCGCCUUUCGGCGGGCUAUCCCUGAGUGACGGGAAGGUUGGAUACGCGUUACUCACCCGUGCGCCGGUCGCCAUCAUCGGUUGCAAGCAACCGACAUGCUGCCCCUCGACUUGCAUGUGUUAAGCCUGUAGCUAGCGUUCAUC
rnacentral:rRNA from 1 species